UGAGAGUCUGGGCAUUUCCACUGUGGCCGCAGAGAUCUCUUUUACUUCCUGCCUGGAUUCUUCACAGAGCAGAGUGUGCCUUGCUGGGGAGGAGUGAAGAAUGUUCCAACAGGAUGUCUACAUGGGAAGGGAAGGGAUGAUUUCCCCCUAACGCUUGUUAUCAACGGAGAAACGGGGCCGGAGGGGCUGCAUCACUGGUCCACUACACAGGGCCAGUUAAAGACCUGGUGACAUCUUACCCAUGCACCCAGUGUGAUGGAACUCCAAAGGAGUGGCUAUGGAUCUCCUAGAAGUUUACCUG